rnacentral:rRNA from 1 species
UACGGAGGGUGCAAGCGUUGCUCGGAAUCACUGGGCGUAAAGGGCGUGUAGGCGGCUUCGUGUGUCUGGCGUGAAAGCCCCGGGCUUACCCCGGGAAGUGCGUUGGAAACUGCGGAGCUAGAGUCCCGGAGAGGGAGGUGGAAUUCCAGGUGUAGCGGUGAAAUGCGUAGAUAUCAGGAGGAACACCGGUGGCGAAGGCGGCCCUCUGGACGGUGACUGACGCUGAGACGCGAAAGCGUGGGGAGCAAACAGG